UACAAACCGCACCCUUUUCAGAAUUGCCCAUGAAGGCCGGUAGAACGACGCCUUAAAUUUCAGUGAGAGGAACGGUCACCAGGGAGUCACCAUUUCCCCCCCUCUUCUCCCUGCAAAUUCAGAGUUAAAAAACCAUAGUAACAAUGGCGGAUCUCAUCCUUCAAUCGCCUGUGAACCCUAGAUCAACCUCCGAUCUUUUCGGUGACCCUCACGAUUCUCAACCCCUCUGGUUCAAAAAGGAGGUCUUCUCUCAACAGGACUUCGAUCCAGAUGCCUAUGUAGCUGAUCUCCGACGCUUUGUUCCCCUCGAAAGCCUCAGAGCAGAGCUCAGAGCUCAUCUCUCUACCCUAAAAUCUGAGCUUGUUGAGCUAAUUAACAGGGAUUAUGCAGAUUUUGUGAGCCUCAGCACUAAGCUUGUCGAUGUGGAUGGUGCGGUUCUGAGGAUGAGGGCUCCAUUGAAUGAGCUCAGGGCUCGAAUUUCUCAGUUUAGGGCGAGCGUUGAGGCUUCUUUCACUUCCCUGAGGGAUGGGUUGCAGAAGAGGGCUGAUGCUGCAGCUUCGAGGGAGGUUCUCGAACGCCUUCUUGAUACAUCUCAUGUUGUCUCCAAGGUUGAGAAACUAAUUUUGGAGUUGCCAAGUACUCCAGCAGACUGGUCGAAUCCUGACAUAGCUCCAACUAACAAGAGUUUAUUUAGCAAUGAUGCAUCUUUACAACCUGUUGAGCAUGGGGCAAACCUGAGAGAGACUCAAAGUAUGCUUUUGGAGAGAAUUGCUAGUGAGAUGAACCGGCUAAAGUUUUACAUGGCUCAUGCUGAGAAUCUUCCCUUCAUAGCAAACAUGGAGAAGCGGAUUCAAAGUGCUGCUUCAUUAUUGGAUAGUAGUUUGGGUCAUUGCUUUGUUGCUGGGCUGGAACACCGAGAUACAAGUGCAAUCUAUAACUGUUUACGUGCAUAUGCUGCUAUUGAGAAUACCGCCAGUGCAGAAGAGAUUUUUCGUUCAACUAUAGUGGCUCCGUUGAUUGAGAAAGUUAUCCCUCAUAACCCUUCACGGGAAGUUGCUGAGAGUUCCGCUGAUGAGCUUGGAGAUGAUUAUCAACAAAUUAAAAGGCUUAUUGAGAAGGACUGCAAAUUUCUAUUGGAAAUUGCUGCAUCCGCCAAUUCUGGACUGCACGUGUUUGAUUUUUUGGCCAAUUCGAUACUUAAAGAAGUGCAAUCGGCUAUCCAGAAAGGCAAACCAGAGGCAUUAUCUGCUGGGAAACCAACAGAAUUCUUGAGAAAUUACAAAGCAAGCUUGGAUUUCUUGGCCCAUCUUGAAGGCUACUGCCCGUCCAGAUCUGCUGUGUCUGAAUUUCGAUCUCGAGCUGUCUACAUUGAGUUCAUUAGGCAAUGGAACAUUGGUGUCUACUUCUCUCUGAGAUUUCAAGAAAUUGCCAGUGCUUUGGACUUGGCAUUGAUGGUCACCACUAUUACAGUAGUUGGCAAUUCACAUCUUAACAAAGGCAAUUCUCGGGAAUUGACCUUAAAUCAAAGUGUGCAGCUUUUGGAGUGCUUGAGAUCCUGUUGGAAAGAGGAUGUUUUUGUCCAUUCUCUCUCUGACAAGUUCCUUCGGUUAUCUCUGGAGCUUCUUUCAAGGUAUGCAACCUGGUUAUCAGUGGGGCUCGCUGCCCGUAAGGGUAAUGCAGCUACUCAGUCAGGUAGUGCAAGUACUCAUGCUGGUAAUACAAGUUCACAUCCUGGGGGCGAGUGGGCAUUGGCUGCAAGUCCAGAAGAUUUCAUUUAUGUGAUGCACGAUGUAGAUAUUCUGGUUACUGUGGUAAAUGGUGAUUAUAUGGAGAAUGUGCUUCAACUUCUGUCUAGUUGUUCAGCUGAUGUACUUUCUCAAGUAAGGCAAAGCAUUUCAUCGGCUGGGAAGAGAUUGGUGGACUUGGUACCUAGUAUAAUGGAUACGAUGAUUGAAGGACUUGUGGAGAAAUCUGUUGAGGACUUGAGGCAGAUUAAGGGGAUACCCACUACAUACAGGAUGACUAAUAAACCACCACCUGUUAGACAUUCACCUUAUGUUUCUGGCGUUCUGCGGCCCCUUAAGGCUUUUCUAGAGGGAGAGCGCGCUGCAUAUUUGGCAAGCGAAACCAAAAGCAAACUGAUACAUGGUGCAGCUGAAAGGAUUACAGGCCAUUAUUAUGAAAUAGCAUGGGAUGUUGUCAAUGUGCAACGGAGGACAGAGUCCUCGCUGCAACGGCUCAGGCAAGGAGCUCAGAGACGAGGUGGUGCGAGCUCAGAUGCAUCUGACCACAAUAUCUCUGAUACUGAUAAGAUUUGCAUGCAGUUAUUUCUUGAUAUCCAGAAGAGGAAACUGCAUCCUCCAAUAAGAAAAAGGAACGUCUUGUCUGUAAAUGCAUAGGGAUUUUCCAGCAUCCUAGUGAGCGAACCAUGCUCUCCUUCCCCUAGGAAAAGGCUACUCCUGCAUUCCAUAUAAGGGACUUUCUAUUUAAAGGAAUAUGGGAGGAACCUAUCCACUAUUGGAGUUCAAGCAGCCGAUAUUCCUGCAUACCAUUCGCUUUGGCAGUGUCUGGCUCCUACAGAUAUGCAGACGAACAUCAGAUUUUAGUGUAUUUAUUCUGUCAUACACCACUUUGACGUUGGGUAGAUCACUUUUUGAGGUUGCAAUGCAUUCGUUGAGGCUGUUCUUUCUCCUUUUACUGAUAAUUGUCAUGUCUUGAUGUUGAUUUAGCAUUGCUGGUCUCUCUCUCUCAACACACACACACAGCAGAUGACAGAUUCUAGAGAAAGCCUUCUGAGAUAGCCACAUGAGGUAGCAAUGCUAUAUCUGUUCAUUCUCCUAUUGUGGGCUGAUAAGGGAUAUCAGUAAUGCAUUAGUGUUAAAUACCUUUACUUGCCAUCUCUGUUUCUCUUUCGAACAUUGCAUCUCUCUCUCAAAUUUUUAUCCACAGGGCCUAUUUGCUUGUUGAUUUAUGAAUUUACUGUUUAUAGGGACUAUGAAAUACGGGCAGGCCGAUUAAUUUGGAUUUCUUGAGAGACAUGGGAUAGAAUAGGAAUGAUACGGAGAAUAUUUAUUUGGAUUUCUUGUAAAGAUUCAGUUUGAAUUUGACUCCAUGAAAAAUUCCAUCCCCUAUUGCCUGUAACUAGGGACUCGGGUCUUUUUCCGUU